UUCCUGGCACUCGAUCUGGGCGGAACCAACUUCCGAGUGCUCCUGGUCAAAGUUAUGGCUGAUGGCAAGCAAGCGGUGGAGAUGGAAGAUCAGAUAUAUGCCAUUCCUGAACACCUCAUGAGAGGCUGCGGAUCUGAGUUAUUUGACCACAUAGCUGAUUGUCUGGCUAACUUCCUGGAGAAGUUGGGUAUAAA